UUUUAGCCCCGCUGUUGUAGCAUCUCCCGAUUUAUAAAACAAAGUUUUUUAACUGUAGUUUUUAUUUAUCGGGAAUAUAGCGCAUAGCAGGAAAAAGC
rnacentral:misc_RNA from 1 species